CCUACGGGGGGCAGCAGUGGGGAAUAUUGCACAAUGGGGGAAACCCUGAUGCAGCGACGCCGCGUGAGCGAUGAAGUAUUUCGGUAUGUAAAGCUCUAUCAGCAGGGAAGAAAAUGACGGUACCUGACUAAGAAGCCCCGUCUAACUACGUGCCAGCAGCCGCGGUACUACGUAGGGGGCCAGCGUUAUCCGGAUUUACUGGGUGUAAAGGGAGCGUAGGCGGCUGUGCAAGCCAGAUGUGAAAGCCCGGGGCUCAACCCCGGGACUGCAGUUGGAACUGUGUGGCUGGAGUGUCGGAGAGGCAGGCGGAAUUCGUGGUGUAGCGGUGAAAUGCGUAGAUAUUAGGAGGAACACCAGUGGCGAAGGCGGCCUGCUGGACGAUGACUGACGGUGAGGCUCGAAAGCGUGGGGAGCAAACAGGAUUAGAUACCCCUGUAGUC
rnacentral:rRNA from 1 species